ensembl:lncRNA
CGGCAAUACUUCAGAGAUCCGUGAUGCCUUCAGGGGAAUUGUGCUUGCCCCCUGGAGUGUUUUGUGUGGAAGUAGACCUAAAAACCAGUUGUGCCGUGUUUCAUUUUGAUUUAGAACCACGCUUUUAAAAAAUAACAGAAAUAACGGGUUUUCACUGUGAAGUCCAUUUUCAUAUUUAUCUCGUUACAAGGUUAUAUAACCCUUUGGUGUGGGGUAGGCAGGAACACAGAUGGUACGGUAACCAUAGCAACGCCACUUAGGCUUCUUUUCUGCUUGUCAGCUCUUUUCAGCAUCAUGUUCCUUCUAAAGCAGAGGCUCGCUCUCUCACACACACUUCCCUCCUUUUCUCCUCUCCUCUGCACUCUCUGCCUCUGACCCAGCUCUCUCAGCAGUCUAAAAAACGAUGAAGACAUUUUAUACCGCUUCCUCUUAGUUUUUCCAUCUCUAUUCAAACCUUAAAUAUGAAUCCGAAUUAUAAUGUUUCCGUCCUAAGACUGCAUUUCUUACUUAUCUCUCUUUUACUUAAAUAGGAGAUAAGGCAAGAAAAGCAAUUAUAAGAAGAGAAGCUACUGAAAUGAAACCAUUUUUCUUAACCUUUGAGUUCAGGCAAAAAUCACCCAAGUCCAAAUAGGCAAACAUGUCCCCUCAGGACUCUCAGAAGUGGAUUCUGUGUCUUCUUUAGGUAUGCUGCUGCUGCUGCUGCGCCGCUUCAGUCGUGUCCGACUCUGUGUGACCCCAUAGACGGCGGCCCACCAGGCUCCCCCAUCCCUGGGAUUCUUCAGAAAGCAUUGACAAUAACUUCACUCAUCUCUGCUGCUGCUGCUGCUAAGUCGCUUCAGUCGUGUCCGACUCUGUGCGACCCCAGAGACGGCAGCCCACCAGGCUCCCCCGUCCCUGGGAUUCUCCAGGCAAGAACACUGGAGUGGGUUGCCAUUUCCUUCUCCACUCAUCUCUAUCAACAUAAUUGAGAACUACCUGGUUUAGCGCUGCCACUGUCUUGACCUUGCCCAUGGAAAGCAGCAACUCCAGCAUUGCCCCCAUCAUGUCUAUUGCUGUGGGAACCUCAGUGGAUCUGGAACCCAGGCUGUAUGGUCAGUUGUGAGGCUGGACAGGUACAGUGCUUGCAGGCCUGCUGGGUGCAGCCCAACAUGGGCUCAAACUGAAUGGACCCAUGGAGUCUCUGGCUCCUCCUGCCUCUGCCCAUUCUGGACAAAAUCCAAUACUACCUAGAGGUGGCCCAAAGAGAGACUGCCUGAAACUGUGCUGGGGGUCAUGCUUUCGGAGACAAACUUUGACCCAAAGAGGAACAGAAGACAGGAGUGAACCAGCAGAUCAAGUCUUUGCCCAUCCCCCCACCUGAAACAUGAUGCAUCUGAACACCCUGUCUUAAAACGUCCAGCAUGACUGAGCAGUGAGCAGCCAUCUGUGUCCUUAUGUGGAGCUGUGGCUAGCUCAAAAAUAUGUUUCCCCUCCUUCAUAGUCUCAACACCCCCUUCCCUUUUUAAUCACUUUUUGCCCCCCAGAAAUUAGAUCUCCCAGUAAAAUAAAAGACCUUAAGCUUUUCCCUAGGCUCUGGUUUCUAGAAAACCAGGCUAAGAUAAUUCUCUUAGACUUUCCUUUACUCACUUACCUGCAAUGCCUGUUAUAUCAUAAAUCAGGGUUCUCUGAAUGUAUCUGUUUCAAAAUUAUAUAUUUUGUUCUAUUGAUCUACUAUGUAGCUCUACUGAUACCACUGUUUUUUUUUUGGGGGGGGGUGGUUUGUGGUCAUCAGCUUUAUUUAUUUAAAAAAUUUUUUACAAUGCUGUGUAGGCUUCCGCUGCCCAGCAACGUGAAUCAGCCGCAACUGCACACUUGCCCCCUCCCUCCUGAGCCUCCCCCCACCACCCACCCCACCGUGCUAGGUCAUCAGAGUGCCAGACUGGGCUCCCUGUGUUACACAGCUAUCCACUCUACACAUGAUAGUGUACAUAUGUUGAUGCUGCUUUCUCCAUUCAUCUCACUUUGUCCCUCCCCCACUGUGUCCACAAGUCCAUUUUCUACAUCUGUGUCUCCAUUCUUUCCCUUCAAAUAGGUUCAGCAAUACCAUUUUCUAGGUUCCAUAUAUAUGCGCUAAUAUACAAUAUUUGCUUUUCUCUGUCUGACAUACUUCACUGUGUAUAACAAACAGGCUCUAGGUUCAUCCACCUCACUAGAACUGAUUCAAAUUCAUUCCUUUUUAUGGCUGAGUAAUAUUCCAUUGCAUAUAUGUACCACAUCAUGUUUAUCCAUUCAUCUGUGGAUGGACAUCUAGGUUGCUUCCAAGUCCUGGCUAUUGUAGCAGGUGCUGCAGUGGACACUGGCGUACCUGUGUCUUUUAGAAUUGAAUACCACUCAUUUUUAAUUUUAUCAUAUAUCCCCCAAUUCAUUGUCAGUUGACUUGGGGUCAUAAUAUAUCAUAAAUAUAAUACUUACUUAGAUCCAGUUCAUUAAUACUUUGGCAAGCUUUUGCAGCUAUGUUCAUGAGCAGAAGAGUUUGCAUAAAGAUGGAAUUAUAUGAUAGAAUUCACCUGUAAACUUUACGGGGCUUAGCAUUUUUUUCAGGGAAAAAUUUUAAAUUACUGCUUCAGUUUCCUUCAUGGUUAAAGAUUAUUUCUUGUACUGAAAUAUGUAUCAAUUUUAGUAAAUUAUAUUUUCAGUUUCAUGAGCUGUGGAG